AUUGAACGCUGGCGGCAGGCCUAACACAUGCCAGUCGAGCGGAUGAAGGGAGCUUGCUCCUGGAUUCAGCGGCGGACGGGUGAGGAAUACCUAGGAAUCUGCCUGCUUGUGGGGGAUAACGUCCGGAGACGGGCGCUAAUACCGCAUGCGUCCUGUGUGAGACCGUGGGGGUUCUUCGGACCUCACGCUAUCAGAUGCGCCUAGGUCGGAUUAGCUAGUUGGUGGGGUAAAGGCCUACCAAGGCGACGAUCCGUAACUGGUCUGAGAGGAUGAUCAGUCACACUGGAACUGAGACACGGUCCAGACUCCUACGGGAGGCAGCAGUGGGGAAUAUUGGACAAUGGGCGAAAGCCUGAUCCAGCCAUGCCGCGUGUGUGAAGAAGGUCUUCGGAUUGUAAAGCACUUUUAGUUGGGAGGAAGGGCAGUAAGUUAAUACCUUGCUGUUUUGACGGUACCAACAGAAUAAGCACCGGCUAACUUCGUG
rnacentral:rRNA from 1 species